CCCCUCUGAUACUUUACACCUUCUUUGUGUGCCAAGAAUGGGUUUCCUCCUGGUAUUACAUAAAUAUACUAUAUACUCAGAGGAAAUUGAAUGCACUUCAGAGUUUCCCUCCCUUCCCAUCAGCUUCAGCCCUUCACUCUCAGGAGUCAAACAACCUCUGUGGUGGUUUUAUGUAAAACAAAGGACCGAGAGCUUGUUGUCGCUCACAUUCUUAUCUAAUUCUGCUCAUGGGCUCCCAUUGACAUCGCUGUCUUGGUAUCUCAGCCAAACUUGUUGCCAAAUAACAGGUAAAAAAUGGAGAACCCGAAUGACAACCAGAUAUUGUCUUGAUCUGUGCUUGCCUGAAGAAGAAAAAAAACUAACUCAUGAAAAUAAACUGUGUAUUUUAGUGCUGCUGACUUGUAUCAUUCUCUGCUGCCACAGUACAGUUGGGCAUGAGGAUAAAAGAAUUCCGAACUAGAAUACAGAGACAGUGUGUGAACCUGUAUAUGCUUGCAGAUUUGUACACACAUGUCUAUGUUGUUGCUCAGCCCAUGAUUGCAGCAGCUAGCUGUAUAUGAGUUAGAUAUUUUAUCUAUUCCAGCCUGCUCUUGCAGUAGCCUCUAUCUUUCUUGAGACUUUGGUAGCAUGUCUUUUUUUUUAAACAAUUUGUUCAUUAAUGCAGCAGUAAUCAUGAAAAUAGGUCACAGCCCUUUUGGAGUUAAGCUGUUAUGUCCCCACAGAGAACAGCACUUAAAUAUCAAUAGCGUAACCGGGAAAACUCGGCAGUUAUUUCCCUGUUUUCUGCAGCUCAAUGAGGAGUUGUUCGAUGCAGACCCCAUUGCACUCAGGAUGAAUGGUGGUGAUUGUGAGAAAAUGAUCUCCUAUUAAUGCAAGAUGUCACAGUGAGAACAAAGACUAGUUUUUACCAUGAUGUGAUGAGCUCACCCUAGCCCCAAUUCUGGAGACUUUGAUACUGGUCCAGGUGCCAGCUUUUGCAUAUGUGACAUACCAGGGAAAACGCUAUAAAACGUUGAACAGGGCAUUAAAUAUUGAUUCAUGGCAUUUGAAUCCCAAGGUCAUAUGGGGUGAGAUGGUAAUUAUGACAUUUUGCAUACUAUUUCCCUCUGCAACCCCCACACCAUCCCAAUAAUGUAAUCUUUAACAGAGCUAAGACAAUCAUAUUCUAAUUUAGAAAAAAGAAGUCUAUCACAAUAUAGUAAAAACAAAAAAAGUUCAAGAGUUUUUAAUUGCAAAAUUGCUUCAGUUUUUACUGGCAUAAACAUCUAUCAGGAGUCAGUGUAUUUCAGAUUAAAGAUUUCUGCCAACUUUUCCACAGCACACAUCCUCCUUGUUUCUACUCUGGGAUUUUGUUUUCUUCUCAGGAAGGUCCUGGCAUGAAAUGCUGUGAAGUUGUGUCAUUCCCCUACACAUAUGACCACUCAUGUAACAGAGCAGCAGUGUGAAGGAGCGGCACUCACAGGCUGUUUUGGGCUGCUUGUUGCUGUGGACUCAGCAAUAUUUUUUUAAUAAAAUAUAUAAUUUAUCAAAAACA
rnacentral:lncRNA from 1 species